CCUACGGGAGGCAGCAGUGGGGAAUAUUGGGCAAUGGGCGCAAGCCUGACCCAGCAACGCCGCGUGAAGGAAGAAGGCUUUCGGGUUGUAAACUUCUUUUAAGAGGGAAGAGCAGAAGACGGUACCUCUUGAAUAAGCCACGGCUAACUACGUGCCAGCAGCCGCGGUAAUACGUAGGUGGCAAGCGUUGUCCGGAUUUACUGGGGGUAAAGGGCGUGCAGCCGGGAAGACAAGUCAGAUGUGAAAUCCCGCGGCUCAACCGCGGAACUGCAUUUGAAACUGUUUUUCUUGAGUACCGGAGAGGUCAUCGGAAUUCCGUGUGUAGCGGUGAAAUGCGUAGAUAUAAGGAAGAACACCAGUGGCGAAGGCGGAUGACUGGACGGCAACUGACGGUGAGGCGCGAAAGCGUGGGGAGCAAACAGGAUUAGAUACCCCGGUAGUC
rnacentral:rRNA from 1 species